rnacentral:rRNA from 1 species
GACGGAGGGCGCAAGCGUUGUUCGGAAUUACUGGGCGUAAAGCGCGGGCAGGCGGUCCUUUAAGUCCUUUGUGAAAUCCCGGGGCUCAACUCCGGAUGUGCAGAGGAUACUGGUGGACUAGAGACCGGUAGAGGCGAGUGGAAUUCCUGGUGUAGCGGUGGAAUGCGUAGAUAUCUGGAGGAACACCGGUGGCGAAGGCGACAUCCUGGACCGGUAUUGACGCUGAGGCGCGAAAGCCAGGGGAGCAAACGGG